GCACAUGUGGCUCAAAAGGGUAGGGCACUGGCCCCAUAUGCCAGAAGUGGUGGGUUCGAAUCCAGUCCUGGCA
rnacentral:tRNA from 1 species